GACGAACGCUGGCGGCGUGCUUAACACAUGCAAGUCGAACGGAAAGGCCCUGCUCUUGCGGGGUUCUCGAUUGGCGAACGGGUGAGUAACACGUGAGUAACCUGCCCUUGACUUUGGGAUAACUUCAGGAAACUGGGGCUAAUACCGGAUAGGAGCUCUUGCUGCAUGGUGGGGGUUGGAAAGUUUCGGCGGUUGUGGAUGGACUCGCGGCUUAUCAGCUUGAUGGUGGGGUAGUGGCUUACCAAGGCUUUGACGGGUAGCCGGCCUGAGAGGGUGACCGGCCACAUUGGGACUGAGAUACGGCCCAGACUGCUACGGGAGGCAGCAGUGGGGAAUAUUGCACAAUGGGCGGAAGCCUGAUGCAGCAACGCCGCGUGCGGGAUGACGGCCUUCGGGGUGUAAACCGCUUUCGCCUGUGACGAAGCGUGAGUGACGGUAAUGGGUAAGGAAGCACCGGCUAACUACGUG
rnacentral:rRNA from 1 species